UGGUGCGUCUGACCUGACUCUGUCUCACUGAGCUUGUCUUUUGUGCUGAUUUGAUUGAGGAGUAAAUAAUGUGCACACAGUCUGUCGGCUGGAUGUCAAACAGGCAGAGGUUCAAAAGCAAGGAGAGCAGAGGUCUCUUCAUUAAAUUCAGAAUGAUGAAGUGUGAGGUUUGCUGUCGGACGCUGCUGGAUGUGAGCUUGUUUUGGGUCAAGAAGGCAAAUCUGGGCUGUGAAAGUGUUGCAAAAGGACGCUGGAGCAGGGUCAAUGACAGCUGAUGAACCUGAGAGUCCGUCGAACACGAGAAUAGAAGAACAUCCUCAUUUUAAUCCAAAGUGUGCUGAGAUUGACAAGUUAUACCUGGAGACGCAAAACAAAGCCAGUGACAAAAACUAAGAUGACCAACAUGUGCAAUCUUGUUCAUGUUUACACUUUGUUUUUCUGUGUUACCUGCAGUGUAACUAAAAGACAAACCGCACAGCAAAGCUUCAUGAGAGUGAGCGCCACAAACCCCAUCACUUUAGUUCAUUUAUGAUGGAGCGUGGUGAAGCAUUAAACUGUUCUGCCGUCUGAUCAGCUCUUUUUGGAAAUCUCCAGGCAGACUUUCUCCUGCUGUCCUGCCUCAGCGGUGCAGGCUUCUCUCCUGCAACAUCGUCACCACCUGGAGGUAAACGUGUUUCCUUAUACAGAGAAAUGGGGGCGUGGCAGUAUGCAGAUUGCACAAGCCUGUUUGUGCCAAAUGAUACAGAGUUAUUAACAUUGGUUAGAUCAACACAGCCUUGUGAGCUUCAUGUUUCAUAAAUCCAACAGUAACUUUACAUAGACUUUUUUUUUUUCUUUUGGAGCAAACUAACAAGGUUUCCAUGCACAUGCUAGUAAGCUGCUCCUCCAUAAACAGUCGAUAUAAAACAAAGUAACACCUGUGUGCUUGGUUUGUUCUUAAAGGUAGAUGCGUUUGUCUAUGAAACGCAUGCAUCAGCUGAUUGUCUGCACAGCUACAUGCUGCUUCAUUGCUGUGUAGCUAAGGAGACUCCCUAACUGAUACAAAUGUAGCAGGAGUCCAGAUCACUUCGCACUCACACUGUGCCUUUAGCUUGGCAUCAUGUAAGCAACUAAAAGUUUGUGCAUAUUUGUGACACAUUCACGAUGUCGUUGUGCUGUCUUUGGUUAUAUCUAGUGUGGCUAAUCAAUGCCUUGACCUCACCUAUCAGCUCUUCUUCAUUUCUAUUUGAAACCUGCUGCUGCUGGAGCUGCAGUGUGAAUUAUACUCGUAUCCUCUCCCUCAUCCUUCAUCUUCUCCUUACUCGCAAACAGCCCUGAUGUUUAUUUCAGGUCGCCUCUCGGCACUUCUCAUUCGCCUGCUGGCA